rnacentral:rRNA from 1 species
UACGUAGGGAGCAAGCGUUGCCCGGAAUCAUUGGGCGUAAAGAGCGUGUAGGCGGCCCGGUAAGUCCGCUGUGAAAGUCGGGGGCUCAACCCUCGAAUGCCGGUGGAUACUGUCGGGCUAGAGUGCGGAAGAGGCGAGUGGAAUUCCUGGUGUAGCGGUGAAAUGCGCAGAUAUCAGGAGGAACACCGGUGGCGAAGGCGGUUCUCUGGGCCUUACCUGACGCUGAGGAGCGAAAGCGUGGGGAGCAAACAGG